AACCAGCACCUCAAGUAGUCAGGAUGAUUAUUGGGCCUAAAGCAUCCGUAGCUCGUUUUGUAAGUUUUCGGUUAAAUCCAUGCGCUUAACGUAUAGGGCCGCGAAACGUACUGUGCAGACUAGGGAGUGGGAGAGGUACACGGUACUCGGUAGGAAGGGGUAAAAUCCUUUGAUCUAUUGAUGACCACCUGUGGCGAAGGCGGUCUACCAGAACACGUUCGACGGUGA
rnacentral:rRNA from 1 species